UACGUAGGGCGCAAGCGUUGUCCGGAAUUACUGGGCGUAAAGCGCGCGUAGGCGGCUUUGUAAGUUAGAGGUGAAAGCCCGGGGCUCAACCCCGGAACUGCCUUUAAGACUGCAUCGCUUGAAUCCGGGAGAGGUGAGUGGAAUUCCGAGUGUAGAGGUGAAAUUCGUAGAUAUUCGGAAGAACACCAGUGGCGAAGGCGGCUCACUGGACCGGUAUUGACGCUGAGGUGCGAAAGCGUGGGGAGCAAACAGG
rnacentral:rRNA from 1 species